AGGGAAGGGAUCGGCUCUGGGGGCUGCUGCCAGGCUCGGGGGGCUCGCUCAGCUGUGUGUUUUCCCCGGGAAAAAUCGGAUAUUCCUGUUCCCCUGAGUCAGAGGGGGUGGGGGUGGUGCCAAGGCAGAUUUUGGGGGUCGCAGCAGCCCCGAGGUUGCUCUGCUGCUGGUUUUGGGCUGCACUGGCAGCUCCUGAUGGGAUCCGUGGUGCUGCCAACUCCAAAGGCAAAAAGCAUCGCGGAUCCCUUCCCCGAUCCCACAGAGACUCUGCUCAGGGCGCACUCUGGGUCCAACCCCCACUUUUUUUGGGGCUCCCUGUGGUCACUCGUGACCUUCCCAGCGCUGCUGAUGGUUUAAUCCAGCUCGACCGGGCACAGCUGCUGGCCAGGAAAAUGGGCCAGGAGGGGGUGAGAGUUCAGCGCUGGAGCUUUGGCAGGAAGGCGGCUCCGGGGAGGAAGCUCCAAACGACGCCUUUCCUGAGAAGUGCAAACGAGAUUUUCAUGAACUUUUCCAGCGAAACUCGGCUCGGGAAGCGCCGGAUCCGCGUUAAAUCAACAAAGGCGGAGGCUCCGCACGUGGGGGGAGCUCCGAGAGCUCCUCACUCUCAGCUGACGGUCACGGGCAGCCUCCAAAAUUUGCUAUUUUUGCCUGAGCUGGAGCCUAAAAAGAAUAUUUUGCCCCCCUGGCAGUGCCCAGUGCGCGGUGCUGGGGAUUUUUUUGUCUCCUCUUCCCCUCUCCCAACCCCGUUUGUGGCCCCGUGGCUCAGCCCGGGUGGAAUUUGGCUCCCAGCUCGGUGAUUUGGCUACCACAGGUUCAAACAGAUUUCUGCCUCCCUCCCCCCGCCUUCAGGUGGUUGACUUUUAUUAAAAGCUUUUUAAUCUUUGAUAUCAACAGGAAAAUCAUUUCCUCACCUACCUCUGGCUUUUGCCAGCUCUGAGAGGCUUUUUAGCAGCUUUUGGAGCUGUUUGUUGGGGUUACAAAUGCAAAAUAUAUUUAUUUUUGUGCCUCUAUUUAAAUAUUUCCUCCCAAAUGAAUCGAUGUGGGGACUGCAGUAAUUUUGUUCCAUCCAUCCCCUCACUUGAUUAAUUAAAUUAAUCUUGUGCUAGCUACUUUGAAAGCUUUAUUUUUAUUUCUAGAACAUUGGGAAAUAUCCCUCAGGGAAGCUGGGAGAGGAGUUUCAAGCAGGUUUUCAGUCACGUUUUUACCCAAAAAAAAAAAAAAAAAAAAAAAAGGAAAUUUUGAAGCAGGGCGGCAACUCUUCAUUCCUCAUCCCAUUCCAGGAGGGAAUUCCUGGAUUUCCCUCACACCCAGCUCAGUGUGAGGCUUCCCAGCUGGAAAAACGAGAUUCCUGCAGUCCCACAGGGCUGAGUCAGGACAGGGAACCUGGAGCACCCUGGGACAGGAGCUCAGACCUGGUUUGACACCAGGAUCCUCCUCCAGAGGGGAAACUGCUGCUUUUUUUUUCCUACUUUUAUCUGCUUCUUUUCCCCUUUUUUUCUGCUUUUUUCCUCCAUUUUUCUCCCCUUUUUCUCCAUUUUUUUCUACUUUUUUUCUCAAUUUUUUCUCAAUUUUUUCUCAAUUUUUUCUCCAUUUUUUCUUCAUUUUUUUCUUCUCUUUUCCUCCAUUUUUCUCCAUUUUUUUCUGAUUUUUUUCCACCUUUUUUCCUCCAUUUUUCUCCAUUUUUUUCUGCCUUUUUUUCUCCUUUUUUUCUCCAUUUCUCCCCCCUUUUUUUCUCCUUUUCUGAGAGAGCUCCAGGCAGAGGCAGGAGGAGGAGGAUGAGGCUGCUGAAAAUCCCUGGGAUUGAUUUUCCACCUGGAGUCACCCUGGUCCGGGUUUAAAACACUGGGGUUUAAAAAUUAAAUAUUCCAGUGAUUUCCUGCCCCUCAGGAGCAUCACUCAGGGUGUCCAGACCUGGCAGCAAUUUCCCAUGGACUUUUUUUUUUAUCCUGGAAAAAACUGGAUAAAUUUCCUGCUGCCCUUUAAGCUCUGUCUCCUGAGUGGAGGAAAUUUAAUCUUUGUUGGGAAAAAAAAAAGUAAAUGGUAAUUUUUAAUUUUUUUUUUUAAUUGUUGCUCCUGUGAGUUUUGUUUCCUGAGCAUCCCCUGCACCUUUUUCAUUGGUAAAUUUUUUUGGGAUCAUCUGUGAGAGGUCUCCAGGUGCAAGGGGCUGAUUUUGGCUCUGCAAAGGCCCCCCCCCCCCCCCCCCCCCC
rnacentral:lncRNA from 1 species